UGGCGGCGCGUUUAAGCAUGUAAGUCGAGCGGCAAGGGCCUUCCGGGCCCUAGAGCGGCGGACGGGUGAGUAACACGUGGACAAUCUCGCCCCCCGGCCCGGGAUAGCCCAGGGAAACCUGGAUUAAUACCGGAUGAGACGGGACCCGCGAUGGCGGGACCCGGGAAAGGCGCUGCGGCGCCGCCGGGGGAUGAGUCUGCGUCCCAUUAGCUAGACGGCGGGGUAACGGCCCACCGUGGCGACGAUGGGUAGCCGGCCUGAGAGGGUGGACGGCCACAUUGGAACUGAGACACGGUCCAGACUCCUACGGGAGGCAGCAGCUAAGAAUCUUCCGCAAUGGGCGAAAGCCUGACGGAGCGACGCCCGCGUGAACGAAGAAGGCCGUGAGGUUGUAAAGUUCUUUUCGGGAGGGGGAACAACCGUGGCAGGGAAUGGCCGCGGGAUGACGUGAAUCCCGGAAUAAGCCCCGGCUAACUACGUGCCAGCAGCGGC
rnacentral:rRNA from 1 species